GACCGUCCUGGGCAGUCUAGGGCGCGCGCACACACGCCCCCCGGGCUAGGCUGGGCAGCAGGCUGCGCGCACCCUACCGCAAGCCCGCUGGCUCCGCGCUGGUAGCCGAAGGAGGGGGCGGAGGAAAAGCUCCCGUGACGUCAGGGUCCCGGGGAAGUGGGCGGGAGGGGCGGGGCGGCGGGGGCGAAACGACUGCUGAUUGGUGCGCGCUCAUCAUUCACACAACACAAUGGAUCUCGAGCUGCCGGCCGGCUCGCGCACCUCCGGGCUCCGCACCGGCAGCUGGCUGCAACCCAGCGGUCACGCCUUUACUCCGGUGGGACCUCCCCGCGGCUUUGCACUUGGGGAGCUCCCGGUGGAGCUGUGGGCGCCGCCGAGUCGCGGCUACAGCCGGAGGAAGGGGCGAGAGGAAAGAACCUUCUGUUGGAUGAAAUAAAAGCAAACACUGGGCCUUCU